rnacentral:rRNA from 1 species
GGCUCUUUGGAAAAAAAAUAUAAAGAGUCGAACCUGCCCAGUGAAAUUUUUAAACGGCCGCGGUACCCUGACCGUGCAAAGGUAGCAUAAUCAUUUGCCUUAUAAUUGAAGGCUGGCAUGAAGGGUCUGACGAGAGCGAUACUGUCUCCUCUUUAUUAUUUAAAAAUUAACCUAUAGGUGAAGAGGCCUAUAUUAAAUUGAAGGACAAGAAGACCCUGUCGAGCUUUAAAGAAAAGUAGGCACUAGCUUAUUAAAAAAAAUCAAUAAACUGCAUUAUAGUUUUUAGUUGGGGCGACGAAGGAACAAAUAAAGCUUCUUUUAUUCUUAUAGAUUUAUAGAUUUAGAUCCAGCAAAGCUGACUAAAAAAAUUAGUUACCGCAGGGAUAACAGCAUAAUCUCCUUUGAGAGACCUAAUCGAAAAGGGGGGUUGUGACCUCGAUGUUGGACUAGAAUAUCCUGGAGAUGCAGACGUCUUCGAGGGUUGGUCUGUUCGACCAUUAAAAUUCU